rnacentral:lncRNA from 1 species
GUCCCUACAAAUUAAGAGAAGAAGACUAAAUAAUUAAAACCCAUUAACUAAUCAAACGUGGUUAAUAACUACUCAAAUCUCUAUCGAAAUAUAUAUUAUAUAUAAAUACAAAGCUUUAGCCAUGUCCAAAAAGGUGAUUUCAGAUUCAACUACAAAGGUGGAGAGUAGAUAAGAUAAAUAAUUAGGACCACAACCAGGUACUCCUUUCAUUUCAUAUGCUAUACCAUAAAAGUGAUAUACCAUACCCUUUAACAAAAAUCGAAUGCAAAUCAAUCAACAAUAUCGAUAUAUAUACAUGAUUAGUAAACAUAUAAGAGAAAAAUAGAUAAGAUGUUAAGCAUUAAACCUCUUGUUCUACCAAGUGGAUAAUGUCGAGGAGCUGUGUGCUUCGAUCUAUUCUAUUCGAAACAAUUGGAAAAGAGAAACAUGGUUUUGCUAAGAGGAGAGUGAUUUUUUUUUUCAAAUCUACAGUGCUCACCGAAGUGGCAGAGAGUUAUAAUGAGUUUAGUAUU